rnacentral:rRNA from 1 species
UGGCGGACGGGUGAGUAACGCGUGGAUAACCUGCCGUAUACGGGGGGAUAACACUUAGAAAUAGGUGCUAAUACCGCAUAAGCGCACAGUCUCGCAUGAGACGGUGUGAAAAACUCCGGUGGUAUACGAUGGAUCCGCGUCUGAUUAGCUUGUUGGCGGGGUAACAGCCCACCAAGGCGACGAUCAGUAGCCGGCCUGAGAGGGUGAACGGCCACAUUGGGACUGAGACACGGCCCAAACUCCUACGGAAGGCAGCAG